AGUGAACGCUGGCGGCGUGCCUAACACAUGCAAGUCGAACGAUGAUGGAGGAGCUUGCUCUUCCUGAUUAGUGGCGCACGGGUGAGUAAUGCAUAGAUAAUGUGCCCCUUAGUUCGGGAUAGCCACUGGAAACGGUGAUUAAUACCGGAUACUCCUUCUUGUCAUAAGAUAAGUCGGGAAAGUUUUUCGCUAAGGGAUCAGUCUAUGUUCCAUCAGUUAGUUGGUGAGGUAACGGCUCACCAAGACAAUGACGGAUAUCUGGUUUGAGAGGAUGAUCAGACACACUGGAACUGAGACACGGUCCAGACUCCUACGGGAGGCAGCAGUGAGGAAUAUUGCACAAUGGAGGAAACUCUGAUGCAGCAACGUCGCGUGGAGGAUGACGCAUUUCGGUGUGUAGACUCCUUUUAUUAGGGAAGAUUAUGACGGUACCUAAUGAAUAAGCACCGGCUAACUCCGUGCCAGCAGCCGCCGUAA
rnacentral:rRNA from 1 species